GGUGAGAUGUCUGAGAGGCCGAAAGAGCACGCCUGGAAAGUGUGUAUACGUUAACGCGUAUCGAGGGUUCGAAUCCCUCUCUCACCGCCA
rnacentral:tRNA from 1 species